rnacentral:rRNA from 1 species
CUUGGUGGAUCAGUGGCGAACGGGUGAGUAACACGUGAGCAACCUGCCCUGGACUCUGGGAUAAGCGCUGGAAACGGCGUCUAAUACUGGAUAUGAGCUCUCAUCGCAUGGUGGGGGUUGGAAAGAUUUUUCGGUCUGGGAUGGGCUCGCGGCCUAUCAGCUUGUUGGUGAGGUAAUGGCUCACCAAGGCGUCGACGGGUAGCCGGCCUGAGAGGGUGACCGGCCACACUGGGACUGAGACACGGCCCAGACUCCUACGGGAGGCAGCAGUGGGGAAUAUUGCACAAUGGGCGGAAGCCUGAUGCAGCAACGCCGCGUGAGGGAUGACGGCCUUCGGGUUGUAAACCUCUUUUAGCAGGGAAGAAGCGAGAGUGACGGUACCUGCAGAAAAAGCGCCGGCUAACUACGUGCCAGCAGCCGCGGUAAUACGUAGGGCGCAAGCGUUAUCCGGAAUUAUUGGGCGUAAAGAGCUCGUAGGCGGUUUGUCGCGUCUGCUGUGAAAUCCCGAGGCUCAACCUCGGGCCUGCAGUGGGUACGGGCAGACUAGAGUGCGGUAGGGGAGAUUGGAAUUCCUGGUGUAGCGGUGGAAUGCGCAGAUAUCAGGAGGAACACCGAUGGCGAAGGCAGAUCUCUGGGCCGUAACUGACGCUGAGGAGCGAAAGGGUGGGGAGCAAACAGGCUUAGAUACCCUGGUAGUCCACCCCGUAAACGUUGGGAACUAGUUGUGGGGACCAUUCCACGGUUUCCGUGACGCAGCUAACGCAUUAAGUUCCCCGCCUGGGGAGUACGGCCGCAAGGCUAAAACUCAAAGGAAUUGACGGGGACCCGCACAAGCGGCGGAGCAUGCGGAUUAAUUCGAUGCAACGCGAAGAACCUUACCAAGGCUUGACAUACACCAGAACACCGUAGAAAUACGGGACUCUUUGGACACUGGUGAACAGGUGGUGCAUGGUUGUCGUCAGCUCGUGUCGUGAGAUGUUGGGUUAAGUCCCGCAACGAGCGCAACCCUCGUUCUAUGUUGCCAGCACGUAAUGGUGGGAACUCAUGGGAUACUGCCGGGGUCAACUCGGAGGAAGGUGGGGAUGACGUCAAAUCAUCAUGCCCCUUAUGUCUUGGGCUUCACGCAUGCUACAAUGGCCGGUACAAAGGGCUGCAAUACCGUGAGGUGGAGCGAAUCCCAAAAAGCCGGUCCCAGUUCGGAUUGAGGUCUGCAACUCGACCUCAUGAAGUCGGAGUCGCUAGUAAUCGCAGAUCAGCAACGCUGCGGUGAAUACGUUCCCGGGUCUUGUACACACCGCCCGUCAAGUCAUGAAAGUCGGUAACACCUGAAG